AAGAAAAAAAAAACUUGCACACUCUGAGAGCUCAACUGUGCAUGCACUUUUCUAUUUGGUGCUUGUAGACGUUAUGGGAAAGUUGUCUCUCUCCCUACAUCUCUCUCCCUCUCCCCAUCCCUCCCUCCCUCCUUCUCGUCGUCUAUCAUGUGCUUGGGAUAUGCUCAUGCUUUGCACAGAGCAGCCGAAGCACGCCUAAUGCAGGCUACUGAGUGUUAGCGGCAAUUUUAAAGUGAUGCCCCCCCACCAAAUAUAAUACGGCUGGGAUAUUUGAGGGGAACAUAUAGGACCACGUCACGGUACACACGGACCCAACUGCACACCGCUGUUCUUCUGCUUGGGACGCUUGCUGGUCGAUUGCAGUGAUUUGACCCACCUUUAGGAAUCAUGGAGAAAUGGAGCUGUGGAGAACUGCAGGCAGCAGGAAGUAGAGGUCAACACGAGAUCUCUGGGAUUUUGCUCGCCACUGGACCCACUUGAGGUUGGAUGGAGACCUCGUAGAUCAUGACCCAGAAACAAAUGGCAUAAUGACUGGAGUCUCCAGGCUAAGACGUCAAGGAUAUUCAGCUGAUCUCAGAGGUAACUGAGUCCUGCUGGUCGACUAGAGAGGAGCCCAGAUUUCAAGACAGGAGCUUCAAGAUGUCUACUCAUAAUUCUCACAAGCUCUAGCAGCUUCACAUUACUCUCUACGACACUUGGACCUGCACUGAACUCUUUAUUUCUGUAUUUCUGUCAACUGGUUAUAUAAGAUUAUUGACCAAACUGACAAAUACUGUGACCUUGCACUGAUAUAAGAAUUUAUAUGUAUUUUUAUUUUGAUAUGGGACAAUACUUAACAAGAAAACGGGAUGAAAAUAUUCCUCACAUUCAGACUAUUUCAUGUAAUUGAUUGAGUCUAACAAGUAUAUUUUUUGACAGCUAAAUAAAUGCAUUUUUUUCCCUUUAA